AUUGAACGCUGGCGGCAUGCCUUACACAUGCAAGUCGAACGGUAACGGGCCUUCGGGUGCCGACGAGUGGCGCACGGGGGAGUAAUACAUCGGAACGUGCCCGAUCUUGGGGGAUAACGAGUCGAAAGCUUUGCUAAUACCGCAUACGAUCUACGGAUGAAAGCGGGGGACCGCAAGGCCUUGCGCGGACGGAGCGGCCGGUGGCAGAUUAGGUAGUUGGUGGGAUAAAAGCUUACCAAGCCGACGAUCUGUAGCUGGUCUGAGAGGAUGAUCAGCCACACUGGAACUGAGACACGGCCCAGACUCCUACGGGAGGCAGCAGUGGGGAAUUUUGGACAAUGGGCGCAAGCCUGAUCCAGCCAUGCCGCGUGCAGGAUGAAGGCCUUCGGGUUGUAAACUGCUUUUGUACGGAACGAAAAGCCUUCUUUUAAUACAGGAGGGUCAUGACGGUACCGUAAGAAUAAGCACCGGCUAACUACGUG
rnacentral:rRNA from 1 species